rnacentral:tRNA from 1 species
AAGAAAGUCAUAGAGGUUAUGGGACUGGCUUGAAACUAGUUUUUGAGGGUUCGAUUCCUUCCUUUCUUG